CAGAGUGAGAGAGAGUGGGGUGAGACACAGGGAGGAAAAACAGAGAGUUAGAGUGUGUGUGAAAGAGAGAGAAAGAGAAAGAGGGAGAGAGACAGACAGAUCGGGCAGGACAUCAGAAGAUCGGACAGCGUGUGUGAAUGUGUUUGAGUAUGUGUGUUUGUGUGUGUGUGGGACAGAGGCAGGGAGAGAGGGAGGGAGGGAGGGAGAAGAACCCAUUCCCCUCAGUUCCACACUAACUUUUCAACGUGUGCACUUGAGGGAAGUUGGCUGUUCGACCGGCUACGGAGGGUUUUUUCCUUCCCUUUUCUCCCACCUAUACACUUUUCCACGUUCUGCAAUAACAUCGACGAGACAAGCAGAGAACUUCAACAAUAACUAUCCGCUAUUAUUUCACACAGGGGACUGGGAUGUGUAGCGUGUGUGAGGAGGAGAUGGAAUAUGCUGGGGGAGAAAGAGGCGCUGCUCUGGGCUAGGUAAGAGGAGACCUGUGGUCAAGAAGAGAGCUCCAGUAUUGGAAGGCCGGCUGAAGCACUCACCAAACAGCUGGGAGUGUUCACGCUUUCUUUAUGCCAAAACAAAAGAGC